UAAAGUUUGCAGGAAGCGACGGAGUUAAAGUUCGCCGGUUAAGCGAUGGAGAUUGUUUGCUGCCAUGACAAAAUACCACAGGCUGGAUGGGUGGCAUCAACAACAGAAAUUUAUUUUCUCGAAGUUCUGAAGUUCAAGAUCAAGAUGCCUGCAAGGUCGGGUUACCCAAGCAAGUUCUUGUGCUACAGUCACCAGGAGAUCUAAGCAGAUCCGACAGUCAGUCUGGUGGAUAUGAUACCCAGCUUCCGUUGUCUAUUCCAGGAAUAGGUAAAGGGAGUAAAGGUGUGUCUCCUGGCAUUUUGCUCUUUUCUUCUACAUAUGUGAUGGGUUCCAGGAACGUGUAAACUAAGAGAAGUUUUCAGGUGAUGGGUUAAGAACAUGCCCCAAAUAUGUCACCUUCACAUACAAAAGGAAGUAUGAGAAAAGUAAAGCUGAAGAAAAUUGAGAAAACUGCUGAAACAGUAAGGUUUCUCCCGGACCUCCCAUCUUUUCCCUCUGAAACCUGCCAACAAAAGAACUCUCUGACUUUCUCCCAAAUAAGUGAUUUUUCUAUACCAGAAAGAAAGAAGCCACAAACACAGAGAUCACAAGAGGAAUGUAAAUACACAAGCCGUACCAAGCUCCCCCCAGUUUGUACCAUUAGGUCAUGGCUUGUUCUCCAGUUAUACUGCUGCAUGACUGUCCCUAAAAAAUAUUCUAUUCUCCUUGUUCCUUCAGAUCUUCAUUUCUGAAG